rnacentral:lncRNA from 1 species
GGGGUCCACAGGAGCGUCUCCGGAUGCCAGGACCUGAAAUGGGCCGACCAGGAUGAGGAAACCACAGGCAGAGGCCGGGGAAGCAGCGCGGCAUCCCAUCCUCAGGCCUGCCCGGACGGUGUUCGGGAUCAAGAGGACCACACUCCAGCCCAGGACAAAAGCCCCACGGUAGCACAUUGUCCGGCAGGAGAGGAGCAGACCCACGUCCAAGAAGAUGGUUGUACCUUUCCACGCCUCUUCUCUGCGAAAUGAAGCCACACCAUGACACAAUCUUGAAGAGGAAGCCGGGAAUGGGAGACGGCAACAAUCCCUGUCCCUGGAACGCUGGCCUCUAUGGACAAGCCACCCGCUUCGCACCCCUCCCCUUAUGCCCGUGGCGGUGGCACGGCGCCGUAUCCUGCCUGGGCUCUGGCCUCUGCUCUGUCCUCCCUCUUCCACUGUCUCCCCUGUUUCUCAGCGGCCUAGAUGCCUCUUGGUCUGGCUGAAUAUCUUCUAUGAAGAUCACUUCCCCGUCCAUCAGGGAGACAAUUCCUGGAGAUUCGUGUCAUGACUGUUUCUCUCUCCAAACCUGUUUCUGCUGGAUUGCGCAGGUCUGAUGACCCUGGAGCUCUUGGCUUCCAUACGUGUCUCAGACAGGAAACCAGAAUCAUGGCAUUCUGAAGAUUAGAGAUGCAAAUCUCCAUUAUUUGGCAUCCCCCUGGACCCGAUCUGUUUUUCAUUGCAAAUGUCCUACUGCUAAGACGAUGCAAGCACCCUCCCUCUAGGCCCAGAGACUGUUUCAGAAGAGAUGGGUGCAUGAGAUUGUAAGGGCUGGUUUUGAGGGAUACAGUUAGCUGAGACACUGCAAAUCAACGAGGGUACACAAGUGCCUAAACAGCUUGUAAAACAAAGAACUUUGCUUUCUCAGCUAUUACGUGGCACCUUUUUAUCCACCCCAACCAUGAAAAAUGUCCUGCUUCCUGGAAUUAAAAGAAAAUAAGAGGAUAAAGAUACCUCAUGGCCAAGCCUCCUGGGCAUAAUACUCCCAGUUAUAAGUUUUGCAGAUAUAUAUAUUUAGAUAUAUAAAAUUAUUUUUUAGAAAAAUGUAUAUGUUUUGUAUAGUUAAUCACUGUAAGCCUAUAAUUAAAACCAAGAUUAUAGUAGCUCAACGCAUAGAAAUGAAAGAAAACUCAAUUUUUGUAAACUCGCCAUUGGCUUUUUGUUUUUGGCUCUUUACUUUAAAUAAAUCUUUUAAGGGGUAAUGAAUGCCUGUCCGAGUCCAUUCCUAUCUUUCCUAGAACACUUACUUGUCUGUAAGUAUUUUGACUUCAAGUCCCUCCACCACAGGGAGUCUCACUGAAGGACAGGAUGGACACAGGGCAGGCAGAUAUGCCACCCAAGCAGUGCUAGGGGGAAAAAAAAUUAAUAGCCAUUGAUGCUGAUGCUGGCAAAUAUUGGCCAUAAAGGGAAGAAUGGAAACCAAAAAUAAAAUUCUAAGCCCUUCAACCAUCUGAAUGUACCCCUCCUCUCAGCCAUAGGGAUUCCAGAGUGAAACUGAAAAUCUUGUUCAGGCCAUGAUGGAAGAGAGCAUUGGACAUGCCUCAUUAUAUUUCUCCAGCAUUAACAUCAACGCAGACCUUAAGACAUCAACAUCAAACCUAAGAUUCUGAUCAGAAAUAUUUAACAUCUAUUUUCUCUGAAGCCUGCUACCUGGAGGCUUUAUCUUCCUGAUAAUAUCUAGGUUUCUCCAACACCUUAUCUUAACCCAGACAUUCCUUUCUACUGAUAAUAACUCUUUCAACCAAUUGCCAAUCAGAAAAUUUUAAAAUCUACCUAUAACCUGGAAGUCCCCACUUUGAGUUGUCCUGCCCUUCCAGAAUGAAACAAUAUAUACCUUACAUGUAUUGACUGAUGUCUCAUGUCUCCCUAAAAUGUGUAAAACUAGGCUGUGCCCUGACCAUCUUGUGCACAUGUUCUCAGGGUCUCCUGAGGGCUGUGUCAUGGCCCAUUGGUCACUUACAUUUGGCUCAGAAUAAAUCUCUUCAAAUAUUUUAGAGUUUGACUCUUUUUGUUGACCAGUCACUCCCUAGUAAGUUUAGGAGCAGGGAUCUGACAGCAACCAUAUCAUGCUCAGAAACAGCAUUCUCUCAUCCACUGUCCCCAGGCUCUGCAGAACCCAGGGUCCUGGUAUCCAUAACCCAAGGAAAUGGGAAGGAGUCAUGAGCUCUUGGGCUUUCUCAUUCUCUGAAAAUGGGCAAUUGAUAACUAGCCUUGAUUUUGUUUAGAAGUAUAAAUAAAUGUCACAUUUCUAAGCAAAAUCAAGUCUAGUUUCAAAUGUGUGAAAGGAAAAUAGAAACUUGGGACCCCAAUUCACUCUGCCAAAAGGAGAAAGUUAAGCUGAAAGCUGAGUCAUGCAAGAAGCUGACUUUCUUUUUGCUCCUAAGCACACAGCUCCAGAUAGAAGGUUAAAUAUCCCCACAGGUAGGUGCUCUGUCCUCAUCUUACCUUAUGUGAAGUGCUGAUUUACUGAGCAUAAGAUGAAUACAAAAUUGACUAUUCCCCUGCCUUAUCCUUUUCUUUUGCAAUGUGUGGAUUCAGUAAUGUGGCCAUACCCUUCCUCUUUCCCCUCCAGCAUACUCUUCCCCUUUAAAUAUUGAAGCCUCAGCAUCGUCUUUGGAGAAAGGCACAGACCACAGAUUGUUUAUAUGAUUCUGUGUUUUUUCCUUCCAACUUGUCCUUAAU